UACAUAGGGGGCAAGCGUUAUCCGGAAUUACUGGGUGUAAAGGGUGCGUAGGCGGUUAUGUAAGUCAGAUGUGAAAACCCUGAGCUUAACUUAGGGAAUGCAUUUGAAACUAUGUGACUAGAGUAUGGGAGAGGUAAGUGGAAUUCCUAGUGUAGCGGUAAAAUGCGUAGAUAUUAGGAAGAACACCAGUGGCGAAGGCGACUUACUGGACCAAAACUGACGCUGAGGCACGAAAGCGUGGGGAGCAAAC
rnacentral:rRNA from 1 species